UGGGGAAUAUUGCACAACGGGGGAAACCCUGAUGCAGCGACGCCGCGUGAGCGAAGAAGUAUUUCGGUAUGUAAAGCUCUAUCAGCAGGGAAGAAAAUGACGGUACCUGACUAAGAAGCACCGGCUAAAUACGUGCCAGCAGCCGCGGUAAUACGUAUGGUGCAAGCGUUAUCCGGAUUUACUGGGUGUAAAGGGAGCGUAGACGGUUGUGUAAGUCUGAUGUGAAAGCCCGGGGCUCAACCCCGGGACUGCAUUGGAAACUAUGUAACUAGAGUGUCGGAGAGGUAAGCGGAAUUCCUAGUGUAGCGGUGAAAUGCGUAGAUAUUAGGAGGAACACCAGUGGCGAAGGCGGCUUACUGGACGAUCACUGACGUUGAGGCUCGAAAGCGUGGGGAGCAAACAGG
rnacentral:rRNA from 1 species